CAUUUGGACAGCACAUAAAAGCUGAGCUGACCCAGUUCUAAGAUUCUCAUUUUGCCAAGUACAGACUCAAGUCUCCCUCUUCCCCAGCAGCCGCGAGGCACUCAAGAUGUAGAUGUCUUAAAGCAACUGCCUCCGAGACCUUUUCAGUCCACAGGAGGUUUGGCCUUGUCGGAGCAUGCCAACAGACAGCAGAAUCACCAGCUACAUUUGCUAAGAGAGAUUGUGCCAAACUGAUGCACUUGACCGCCCGAGGAAACAACUCCCUGCUCUUCCAGGAAAAGGAGACCAAGAAAGACAAGCUACAGGGGCCAUCCUCGGAACACAACUUCGCAAAGUGCUGGCUGGCAGCCUGGUCUCCAGAAGUCACGCUGACUUUAUCCUUUUAUGGGUAUAGAGAACGAUCCUUUUAUGGAUUGCCUCAGCCCCACUCCCCACGUCCUGCCAUCUUGAAUUCCUGGUCAGCAUUUGCCCUCCAGAGAAAGGUUGAACCUCCCGAGGCUGAGGUAACCCAUAGCUAGUCUGUGCUGUCCAGAAGAUGGCAUGGGGUCCCACAAAGGAGGUACAAUCUCACGCAGCCAAAGGAGUCUUUACGGAUGAAACCUGAACGGGACAGAGAGAGCUUUGACCUUCUGCCUAACACGUUGAGUCAGCUGGUAGUUGAGUUCGGUUGGUUGGCUGUGUCUCAGAUGUCAGUAGGAGACGAAGCAAAGAUGUUCUGCUUGCUGAAGUUUCCUUUCUCCAUGGACCAGAUGUUCUUUUUGGAAAGAGCCCUGGAUUUGGAAUCGCAAAAACCUGGAUUUAAACCCUUUUCUGUCAUUUACCCUAGUGACCUCCCUAAGCCCAAUGCCCUCGCCUAACCAGUGAAAAUCUCACAGUCCCAGCUGGUAAAUGGCAGAGCUUGGAUUUGAAUCCAGGACUCUUGACUCCACCUCCACCUGCAGUCGAAUAUAGAUGGCAAAGAGAUGUCUAAACUGCACGCAAAAGGGCAGGCUUGGUAAAUGUGAACACCUCCUCCGGUGGCUGAAAGCCAGGAAGGAGUGAGAGAGCAGAUUGAGAGAGCAGACGCUAAUGUUCCCCAUUAAUCAAGGCAGAGUGUGUGCUCUGUUGCCCUUAAGAGGGCUUAGGACUUGGAAAUUGCUUCUGCUUCACAGCCUGUCUCUGGCACAGCCUGGGCUAGAGCCCUGGGGGUACUGGAGACACUGCCCAGAUACGUGGUCUGCUCACCUACACCCUCGGCCCGACUCCUUUCAUGGCCCUUCCAUUUCACAACCGUCC
rnacentral:lncRNA from 1 species